AUUUCGUUUGAUUUGCUUUGUCCUCGUCCUCUGCACAUGGUGCUAACUUGGAUUUUGCUUGGGCAGGUGCCUUUCUCUCUUGAGGACCCAGAUUACAAGGGUCUUGAGCUAGAUCUGAUAGUGCUGUGCGAGAAGCAUGGGAAGCCAUCAUAGAGGCUUGUUGCAUUUGAAGGAACAAUGACUGGGAGAAGGUUCUUAGCAUGUGCAGAGUCGGAAGGUCAGAAUUGUGGGUUUGUUCAGUGGGUUGAUGAGCAGUGGCCCCCAACAAUGGAGAAUGCAUUGCUGAAGCUUUGGUCAAUGGUUGAAGAGAGCAAGUCUGCUAGGGUGAAUGAUAAUCUUCAAAGUGCUUUAACUAUUCACCAUUUGACAGAAGAAAAGAAGAAGCUGGAUGCAGAUUAUGACAAGUUAGUGAAAGAUGUGCAUCAACUUGUGGACUUUCAGCAGGAUAGGGUUGUGGAUUUUAGUUAUCUGCAGUCAGCUGUCACAUAUCAGCACGAAUGCAGAGCUGAAUUGGUGGCUCGUAAGAAUGCAGAAAUGGCAAAGAAAGAUGCAGCUACAGAGAAGCUUCAAUAG
rnacentral:rRNA from 1 species